rnacentral:rRNA from 1 species
UACGUAGGCAGCGAGCGUUGUUCGGAGUUACUGGGCGUAAAGGGUGUGUAGGCGGUUUUCUAAGUUUGGUGUGAAAUCUCCCGGCUCAACCGGGGGGGUGCGCCGAAAACUGGGAGACUAGAGUGCGGGAUGGGAGAGUAGAAUUCCUGGUGUAGCGGUGAAAUGCGUAGAUAUCAGGAGGAAUACCGGUGGUGUAGCCGGCUCUCUGGACCGCCACUGACGCUGAGACACGAAAGCGUGGGUAGCAAACAGG